ACAACUAUACGUGCUGCAUCUAGUCUCCCGUCUUUGUCAUUUUUUAGCUGCUAAUACAGACAAGCUACUUGUAUCUUUGACUAAAUCAAUAUAGCUGGUUUUACAUGCUCUGGGGCACUCUGCCAUUCUUUUUAGUGCCUCUGAAGCCUUUCAAAGAAGCCUACAACCUCUUCAUCUGCUGCCACCAUUCUAUUUGCGCUGCAGCUUUUCAGAACAGAUGUUUGGAACUGGAAGCUGUCACAGCUAGAAAAAGUGAAGCUCCUUCUCUUGGCUGACGCAGUGGAGGACAAAUUACUGCAUUAUAGAAAACCUGUCAAGGAAUUCGCUGUAUUAGAGCUGAGAGAAGCAUGUGUGGGAGCUGAAGGAGAAGGAGAAGAAAGAGCCAGCAUUUCAGUAGUCCAUGAAAAUCCUCAUGGAAUUUAAGAAGUGUCAUUAACCAAAAGCCAAAGCUGACCUGUGUGAAUGAAGUACCAUGGAUGUGAUGAAACUGAUAUCAGCCAACAGUGGUGGAGAUUAACUGGAUCUGUACAGCCAGUUCAGUACCCAAUGAGAACAGAGCACAACAACAUGAGGCUUCUUAGGAUGAACAAAAAAAUGGAUAGAAAUAUUCAGGGAAAAGUCAGUGUGAACUUCUCCGGACUGCCACGACUUCUCAGAUAUGAUGGAACGUGGCUUAGUAACUUCACCAGCCAGUUCCCUCAGGACCCAUGGAUGCAUCUCAUCCGGCCCCAUGGAUAUGUGCACCUUCAGGUUUCUUAGAUAGUCUUGAACCUGAUCUUUUCCUACAGUGGGCCGUUCUUCAUUAUCCCAGUCCCUGCCUUUGCCUUCUGCUGUCGCUAGAGCACUUACCUGUGAAGAGUGAGGCAAAAAUAUAUAUAAUAAUUGGCCACAUAUGCACUGUAUAUUUAUGAGUCUAAUGAAGAACAUAAUCCAAAAGUAUCUUCUAAAGAUAUUUUAAAGUUGAUGUUGGUCCAGUACUUUGUUAUUUAGUGCUGCAACUAACUCAAGGUCAUACAUUUUAAGGGAGUACCAAAACAUUUGUGAAAGUUUCAACGAGUUUUGACAGGAUUUGUAGGUGUUUGCAACAUAUUUAUGAAUAUUUUGGAGGAGAUUUAUGGGUUUGUAUUUGAUGAUCAUUUGUAAAUCUGAAAAGUGUACAUUACUAUUACAAUAGUGUAUUCAGUUUUGGAAUGAAAAAUCCUAAACUGCAGUUUA